rnacentral:rRNA from 1 species
GACGAACGCUGGCGGCGUGCUUAACACAUGCAAGUCGAGCGGACAGGCCCUGCUUUUGUUGGGUGCUCGAGUGGCGAACGGGUGAGUGACACGUGUGUAACCUGCCCUUGACUUUGGGAUAACUUCACGGAACUGGGGCUAUUACCGGGUAUGAGCUCCUGCUGCGUGGUGUUGGUUGGAAAGUUUCGGCGGUUGGGGCUGGACUCGCUGCUUAUCAGCUUGUUGGUGGGGUAGUUGCUUACCAAGGUUUUGACGGGUAGCCGGCAUGGGAGCUUUGACGGGCACCAUGGGACUGCGAUAGGCAGCAGAAUCGUACGGGAGGCAGCAGUGGGGAAUCUGACACAACGGGGGGACGCGUGAUGUAGAAACGUCGGGUGCGGGAUACCGGGCUACGGGUGGUAAACAGAUUUCGACUGAGACGAAGAGUGAGUGACGGUAAUGGGUCAAGAAGCAACGGCUAACUACGUG